CAGUAGCCGCGGUAAUACGAGGGGGGCAAGCGUUGUUCGGAAUUAUUGGGCGUAAAGGGUGCGUAGGCGGUUUGACAAGACUUAUGUGAAAUCUCUGGGCUCAACCCAGAGUCUGCAUGGGAAACUGUCGGGCUUGAGUAUGGGAGAGGUGAGUGGAAUUUCCGGUGUAGCGGUGAAAUGCGUAGAUAUCGGAAGGAACACCUGUGGCGAAAGCGGCUCACUGGACCAUAACUGACGCUGAGGCACGAAAGCUAGGGGAGCAAACAGGAUUAGAUACCCCGGUAGUCCAUGUCUCUUAUAC
rnacentral:rRNA from 1 species